UACGUAGGGUGCAAGCGUUGUCCGGAAUUAUUGGGCGUAAAGAGCUCGUAGGCGGUCUGUCGCGUCUGCUGUGAAAUCUCAGGGCUUAACCCUGAGCUUGCAGUGGGUACGGGCAGACUAGAGUGCGGUAGGGGAGACUGGAAUUCCUGGUGUAGCGGUGAAAUGCGCAGAUAUCAGGAGGAACACCGGUGGCGAAGGCGGGUCUCUGGGCCGUAACUGACGC
rnacentral:rRNA from 1 species